rnacentral:rRNA from 1 species
UACGGAGGGUGCAAGCGUUGCUCGGAAUUAUUGGGCGUAAAGGGUAGGUAGGUGGUCUCAUUUGUCUGGGGUGAAAGCCUUGGGCUUAACUCAAGAAGUGCCCCAGAAACGGUGAGACUGGAGUCCUGGAGAGGGUCGUGGAAUUUCCGGUGGAGCGGUGAAAUGCGUAGAGAUCGGAAAGAACACCAACGGCGAAAGCACUCUGCUGGGCCGGACACUGACACUGAGAGACGAAAGCUAGGGGAGCGAAUGGG